AAGCCACCUCCACCUCUGUCCUGGCCGCCUCAGGGCACCCUGAAAGGACCAGGACAUGCGGGUGCGGUGGAUGCUCUUUUGGCUCCUCUUUUGGCUCCUGCUGGAAUUUAUCAGCCAUCAGUGCAUCUCUGUUAUCAAUACUCUGGCUGACCAUCAUCAUCGUGGGACUGACUUUGGUGGAAGUCCUUGGUUAGGUAUCAUUAUUGAAUUUCCGAGAAGUUAUAAAGUUGUCAUUACCCUCUGGACAGUUUACC
rnacentral:lncRNA from 1 species